UCACUAUUUUGACAUCUACUGGGACCUCCAGUCGUUUGUCCUUUCCUCAAAAUACGAACCAUGACAGUUUUGGUGCCGAAAUCCCGGUUUGAGGGGGGACUUUGGUUGGUGGUUUGGCUGAGGUCUGGUGGUGUCAAAUAGACGGACGGGAGUCCAGCAGGUCGACUGAGUGAUGGGGGCCCUUAAUAAGGUAAGCACCACCUGUUGAUUAAAAGGUGCUGAAUUUGGGAAUUAAGCUAAAUUAAAUGUUCACUCAGUAGAGUUGCUGGGGAUUUUGUCUGUGGUGAUUUUGGGUAAUUAGUGAAAAAAUAAAAAGUUUGGGGAUAUUUGACUGACAAAAUUUGUUGCUGUUAAUUUUGGGGUGAAUUUUAAGUUAAUAAGUGGUGUUUUUAAGUUAAUAUGCUUUGUGGUUAAGUUACUGGGUUAUAUUUGUUGACUGUGACGCCAGCCAAGCAGGCAUUUAGAUUAGGGUAUUUGGCUGAGGGAUUUUAUCCCCGUUUUGACCAGCAGGAUUAGAUCCGGGCAUCAGAUAACAAACUGUUGGUGCUUGGAGCCCACAGUGAUGCUUUUAAAGAGUAUUUAAAUUAGUCUAGGACCGGAGUUGGACUCCGAGGAGCGCAGUUGCUCAGCGUGUGGCAACGACCGGUAACCGUGGACGCACGGUUAUCUCUGGCGGCGUCCAGUAGCCCGGGUGGCCUCCCGCGGGACUUCGGGCACCCGUUAAAAGGCUAGGUAGUACAGGAUUACCUUUUUACUGCGCUGAUUGAAUGAAGGUUGGACCGGCCGUAACCAUUUAAACGUGACUGACCGGUGAGCUUUAAGUAUAGCUGAAGGCGCAAGUGUGAUACUUAGAUGCUGGAUGUGGAGCUCUCUUGUCAAGCUGCGGGAAGCGGUUAUAAAUUAAUUAGGGCCUAGAUAUUUGACCACUCUCGGAGAGGGCGUUCCCGAAGCGGGUUGAUUGAUCAGCAAGGUUGGACCUGGCCUUAGAAGGUUUUAAAUUAGUCAAAAAGUUAGGUGUGAUGCUACAGAGGUUUUAAUAGGAAUAAGUGACAGGAAUAAGGAUAAAAUAAGGAUAAGGACAAGAAUAAGGAACGGUUGAAUAACUUGUCCUGGCAUCUGGUGUCUUUUUGUUUUUUUUCUCAUGUUGAUACAGGCCUGUGUAUAUAAAAUAAAGUGUAAAUUAGCUGUGUAAAUUGCUUAUACUGAUUAUAACUGGGUGUGCUGUGAAACUGAUUUAAUACAGAAGCUGAGUGUAUGACGAGUAAACAAAAGAGAGUGUGUUUGUGGUGUGUAGAAAUCGCGGUAGGAAGCCGUGUCCCGAGUUAUUGUAAACUGUGAAGUCAAUUGGGGGGUUGAAUUUGGUUUUAUAUUCUUUUGAGGGAGAGAAACGGCGGUGUCGAGUCCGUGGCGCAGUUUGAAAAUUUGUGAGGUGUAUAAGAGUGGAUGACAGCCGCUCUGUGUGCCGUCUGGGGCGUUGUCCAGAAUAAGCAGAGAAAGAAGUGUCUCACAGAAAGUUUGGAUGGGUCUGCGAGAAGCAUGAAGUGUGUGUGAGCCACCCUCGAGAGGCGGGGUUCACAGGCGGAGUGAACGAGGAGUAAAAUGUGUGUGCAUAAGAGAGUUAGAGAGAAAGAAAAGGUGGGGGCUGAGUGACCAGCCUGUGAGUGUGUGUGAAUUCCUGGAUGACAGAGGAGGGAGAAGUAGUGGAUUAGUUGAAUUUUCUGUGAAGUAAUAAUAGCCAAGGAAUCCUAGUGAUAAAUAAUAAAGAAAACUAAACAGUGGACUAGUGUUAAGGUAAUGAUAAAUAAAUUGAUAAAAUUAACAGAGACAUUUAAAGGUGAUCAAGUACUCAAGGAUGAAUGGAGGAUUUGUUUGCUGACUGCAUGAGAGCUGUUGGGGUGAAAUGAAAAUGAGGAUAGAGUAGUGAGUUCACAGGUUAAUGUGUGGGUGUAAAACAAUGGGGUAAAAGAAAGUAAAAAAGAAAAAGAGAAAGAAAGUGACGAAAGCAAAGAAAAUAAAAAGUGUGGAAGGGUGAGUGAGACAUUGUCUCCAACUGGGGAAGCAGAGAUAGUAGAGGUGAUCUUAUUCCCCUGCUGGACACAAAAAGAAAACAUAAGUUGGAGUGUUGUGGAUGAAAAUAAUUAAUUACAACAUCAAGAAGACUCUUUGUGUUUGCGGUUCAGAGCAAAUGAAAGUGCACAUUUGGGGUUUAAAGGCAGUAGAGUUCAAAACAAAAUAAGUAGAGAUGUGUUGCUUUAGGAGUGAUUAAAACAUCUGGAGUCACAGUAAAUAAUGAAAGUCUCUCAGUCUGUCGUUUACAGGUGGGGAACGGACCUGGAUCAAUUCUCCAUGGGCAGCAGUCGGCAGUAAAUUAUAGGUUAAAAUCAUUAGAAAAGUAGAAACACCCAGCCAGACUUUUUGGCUGAAUUGUUUUGCAGCUUCUCGUCUUUAUCCUGAAUAAGCGAGCUCCAAGGAAGCUAAUCUCUCCCUGAAGACACAGAGGGCAGUUCCAGAAGCACAAGCAUGAACAUCAACAGUGGACAGCAGUCCAAGAGACAAUACCGGAGAUCUGAGCAGAGAGGUCCAGCAGCACUAUGGGCAAGCGGCAUCAGAAAGAGAAGAUCCACCAUCUAGAUUGGAUGGAUGGAGAUGCGUUUCCAACAAGCUGCAACCUCACUGUGCGUGAAGGACCUUUGAGAAGUCUGUCUGAGCUUGACAUUUGCCAUGUUUGGAGCAAGAUGGCAAUGAAAGAGACAGUGGGACAACGAGAUACGCGGGGACAAAGUUGAAGAAGACUGACUGACAUUGGACUGAAAAGUGGGGGAGAAGAACGGAGGGAAUGGAGCAGGUGAGGACAGAGGAAUGCUGUUUUAGUGUGGGGACUCAAAUUGGGGUUAGAGAAUCCAGGGAGACAGACGACUGCCUGGAAGUGGAGGAUUGAUUGGUUUGGCUGAGGUCUGGUGGUGUCAAAUAGACGGACGGGAGUCCAGCAGGUCGACUGAGUGAUGGGGGCCCUUAAUAAGCUUACUGAAAAUGUUGGCGACCAAAGGCCGGAUUCAGGGACGUGUGCUGCUUGUGCUACUCGCGUUACAUGGGCAAACUGCUUGCUGUCAUCAUCGAUACAAAGGCUCUGCGACCCGUGAAGAACUGAGACUCCUUCUGGUCGGUAAAACAGGCUCGAGAAAGAGUGCGUCCGGAAACACCAUCCUGGGGGAUGCGUACGCUUUCAAAGAGGACGUUUCGCCCGAGUCUCUCACCGACAGCUGUCUCAGAAAAGAGGCAGAGGGCGACAAACUGGUGGGAGAGGAUG